GAUCAUGGCUCAGGAUGAACGCUAGCGGCAGGCUUAACACAUGCAAGUCGAGGGGCAGCGCGGGUAGCAAUACCUGGCGGCGACCGGCGGAAGGGUGAGUAACGCGUGAGCAACAUGCCCUGUGGAGGGGGAUAGUCACUGGAAACGGUGCGUAAUACCCCGUAACAACAGGAGAAGCAUCUCUCCAGUUUAAAAGAUUUAUUGUCACAGGAUUGGCUCGCGUCUGAUUAGGUAGUUGGCGGGGUAACGGCCCACCAAGCCGACGAUCAGUAGGGGUUCUGAGAGGAAGGUCCCCCCACAUUGGAACUGAGACACGGUCCAGACUCCUACGGGAGGCAGCAGUGAGGAAUAUUGGACAAUGGCCGAGAGGCUGAUCCAGCCAUGCCGCGUGAUGGAACCUAAGGCCCUAUGGGUCGUAAACAUCUUUUGAGAGGGAGCAAUAAGGACGUCGUGACGUCCGAUGAGAGUACCUUUCGAAUAAGCAUCGGCUAACUCCGUGCCAGCAGCCGC
rnacentral:rRNA from 1 species